UCACUGUAGUGUCAAAGUGCUUACAGUGCAGGUAGUCAUCUAAUAUCUACUGCAGUGAAGGCACUUUAAGCACUAUAGUGG
rnacentral:pre_miRNA from 8 species